AACACGAGUACUCCAUGGGACACAGUUUGGGAAACACUGGCUCACUGAACAAGACCUCAUUUUAACAAAGAACAAUGCAGGAGUGUCAUUUGGCUGGCUAAAUGUGCCCUAGUACCGCCCAUGUGGCUUCUGGAAAUUGAAAGAAGAGAACCAGAGACCAGUUUGAGGAGCAGCUUUAUGUGGGCUGUCUGUUCCCAGAAUGGGUAGAUUGGGCAAUACGGAGAUGGCAUGGACACGUGCCAGACUUGGACGUGGACGCCGUAGGCAACAGCGAGGUCUUUGCAGAGGCCCGGGCCCAUUCGGAGCACCUGCUCGCAGGCAGGUAAGGUAAUGACAACCAACGGGGAUUGGCUGGGGCAGCGGCCAGGGUGCGGACUGCAGGGACAAGACGGAAGGGAGGGAUGGGGUACACAGCCGGCAACCUGCCCCGAGCAGCCCCCCUGUCGCUCCCCCAGCCAAUCCACGUAGCCGGUGGGCGUUGCCGCCUCCCCCCAGCCCCUCCGCCCACUCCCAGUCGUAAGGACACCACCCGUCUCCCAUCUGGAUUCACUCAGCGGCUUCCUCACCGCCUCCGCCCCCCUGCGAGCUCUUCCCAGCAUGGCCCUGACCCAGAUGCUUCCAAAACGUCCCUCUCUGCUUCUCUGCUUCCGUGUCAUUCACGGCGACAGAGCACCUCCCACCCACGUGCAGAUGGUGGCCUCUGGGGAGUGGAAUCAAGUGUGCAAUGACAGCGGCCGGGACCUGGGAGUGCUGCUUUUGCGAGUAAGUCUUGCAGGGUUAAUGGACUUGUAAAUUAUGUGAGUGUAAACCUUUCAUUCGCUUGUUUG
rnacentral:lncRNA from 1 species